UGAGGAAUAUUGGUCAAUGGGCGAGAGCCUGAACCAGCCAAGUCGCGUGAGGGAAGACGGUCCUAUGGAUUGUAAACCUCUUUUGUCGGGAGCAAGGGUCUUCACGUGUGGAGAUUCGGAGAGUACCCGAAGAAAAGCAUCGGCUAACUCCGUGCCC
rnacentral:rRNA from 1 species